CGGGGGGAGCAAGCGUUGUUCGGAUUUACUGGGCGUAAAGGGCGCGUAGGCGGCCACCGCAAGUCGACUGUGAAAUCUCCGGGCUUAACUCGGAAAGGUCAGCCGAUACUGCGGGGCUAGAGUGCAGAAGGGGCAACUGGAAUUCUCGGUGUAGCGGUGAAAUGCGUAGAUAUCGAGAGGAACACCUGCGGCGAAGGCGGGUUGCUGGGCUGACACUGACGCUGAUGUGCGAAAGCUAGGGGAGCGAACGGGAUUAGAUACCCCGGUAGUCCUAGCCUUAAACGAUGAAUGCUUGGUGUCUGGGGUUACAUAGUCCCCGGGUGCCGUCGCUAACGCUUUAAGCAUUCCGCCUGGGGAGUACGGUCGCAAGACUG
rnacentral:rRNA from 1 species